GACGGAGGAUGCAAGUGUUAUCCGGAAUCACUGGGCGUAAAGCGUCUGUAGGUGGUCAAAUAAGUCAACUGUUAAAUCUUGAAGCUUAACUUCAAAAUCGCAGUCGAAACUAUUAGACUAGAGUAUAGUAGAGGUAAAGGGAAUUUCCAGUGGAGCGGUGAAAUGCGUAGAUAUUGGAAAGAACACCAAUGGCGAAGGCACUUUACUGGGCUAUUACUAACACUCAGAGACGAAAGCUAGGGUAGCAAAUGGG
rnacentral:rRNA from 1 species